rnacentral:rRNA from 1 species
UACGGAAGGCAGCAGUGGGGAAUAUUGCACAAUGGGCGCAAGCCUGAUGCAGCCAUGCCGCGUGUAUGAAGAAGGCCUUCGGGUUGUAAAGUACUUUCAGUCGUGAGGAAGGUGUUAAGGUUAAUAACCUUAGCAAUUGACGUUAGCGACAGAAGAAGCACCGGCUAACUCCGUGCCAGCAGCCGCGGUAAUACGGAGGGUGCGAGCGUUAAUCGGAAUUACUGGGCGUAAAGGGCACGCAGGCGGUUAAUUAAGUUGGAUGUGAAAUCCCCGGGCUUAAACCUGGGAAUGGCAUUCAAGACUGGUUAGCUAGAGUCUUGUAGAGGGGGUAGAAUUCCAUGUGUAGCGGUGAAAUGCGUAGAGAUGUGGAGGAAUACCGGUGGCGAAGGCGGCCCCUGGACAAAAGACUGACGCUCAUGUGCGAAAGCGUGGGGAGCAAAACAGGGAUUAGAUACC